rnacentral:rRNA from 1 species
GACGGAGGGUGCAAGCGUUGUUCGGAAUUACUGGGCGUAAAGGGCGCGUAGGCGGUCUGUUAAGUUCGGUGUGAAAGCCCCCGGCUCACCUGGGGAACUGCGCCGGAAACCGACAGACUCGAGUACCGGAGAGGAGGGUGGAAUUCCUGGUGUAGCGGUGAAAUGCGCAGAUAUCAGGAGGAACACCGGUGGCGAAGGCGGGUCUCUGGGCCGAAAUUGACGCUGAGGAGCGAAAGCGUGGGGAGCAAACAGG